rnacentral:lncRNA from 1 species
ACAUUUUCUGCCAUUUCAAGACAGGUUUUUGAUGGGUUUAUCAUGGUUAUUUUAUUUUGGUCACAAAUCAUCAAUAAUUCAUUUUCAGUUGAUUUAUCUUAUUUAUAAAGUGUCACAUCAACUAUUACCAAAGUUUAGUAUUUGAAUUCUGAUAGCUCUAGUAAAUAAAACACUAUCUGCCAUAGAAGAAUUGCUGAGUUCUCAUUGGAAGAAUUCUCUUUUGAUCUAAUUGUCUAAAUGCAAGGCCUUUAGACAAGCUCAAAUUAUAAGAAACUGUUCUUACCCUGAGACAAGUUACAUGUAUCUCAUACUUUGAUAUUUCAGUAUGUAAACAGUACACAAUUGUUUCUCUUUGUUUUAUCAUAUACACUUCAUGUAUCUGAUCAUGUAUGGUUCAAAUACUUAUACAAAUAUCAUGCUGCAAAGCAGAGUCUUCCUCUAAAAAGAUGCUUUAAAAAUAUGUGUGUAAUUGCAUGCAAUUGUUUAUAAAAUGACCGUCGUGUCAAGGAGGAAAAUGCAUAUCCAUUUUGAUACCAGUUGAGUAUUAUACUCUCAGUUAUAUCAACAGGAGUCUUGUGUUUUGUUACCUAGUAAGAGGCAGGUGGUCUAGCAUCCACCCCCUUGAACAACUGGCAGCUUAGUUUACAUUUGGCUGAGCAGCUGCUUCCUCCUACUUGAACUAGCAUUGCAUCACAAAGCACAGUUGUCACUUGUAUAACUUGCAACACACUAAGACGAGACCUUAUUUCCACGCUCAAGUUAUCUGCUUUGUUCACUUUUAGUACCAUUUGGAGUUUCAUCCAGUUCAAAUAUUUUUCUUUAACAAUACCUAGUAUUGUUAAAAAUACUUAAGCUUUUCUAAACAUUGUUAAUAUGAUGACACUUUAAUUCUUUUGUAUGUUGUUACAGAUAAUUUAGAACUCUCAAACUUUGAGUUUGACCUCUAUAAAGACACUAAAAAGGUUUACUGAGAAUGAAUAAACCAAACACUAUGCAUUGAGAACUAUAUACUGCUUACUUAAGGGGUAAACAUAAUGCAAUAAGUUUCAAAAACUAAACAGUAUUUUCCUAGUAUUAAUUGAUUGAUCCAUCCCUUCUCCUCAUGAUACAGUGAAAUCCUUAGCCACCUGGGAAAUGCUUAGAUCUAUGAUCAACUCUUUGUUAUCAGGGCUUCUGAUAAUAAAGGAAGAAAUUGUCUAACUGUCUUUCUCUAUCUGCUUCAUGUCUACUCUUUUAGUACACAUUAUUCAUCAACUGCAUUUCUAAGAAGAACAAUAUUGUGGUAAUUUGUUGGAAGUUGUUUGCAUAAGCAAACCUCUAUACUCUUUGAAAAAAGGUACAUUCCCUUCAUUCAUUCCAUUUUUAAGCCUUGACCUACAUGGAUGAUAACUGAGUAAAAUGGCUACUGCAGUUGCCAACUUCCUGGGGAUGACCCUGCUAUGUUGACAAUUUUGUAUAGAUAUUUUUGUAAGGUUUAAUAUAGCAGCUGGAGGAGUUUUCUAUCUCACUCUAGCUUUUGGCAAGAUAAGAACAGAAUAGCUUCCAGGCUUGAUAUAACAUGUUUUAAAGUCUCCCUUAUUGUUUAUAAGCUUUUGACUUUGGAAUCCUCCGGUUUAGACCCUUACACAUUACCUUCUGCAUCCCAAUCCAAGCUCAGGUACCCAAGGUGGUUUUACUAUUUAACCUUUUGGUAAUGGCUUUCCCAAAGGCUGCCUAUGCAGAAGCAGAACAAUUCUAAAAUUGUUUAGACCAUGAUAUUAGCCAAAGUGAUGGUUAAUUUUAUUUGGCCUUUUGAUAACUCGUUAACUACUAUAGUCAUGUUUGCUAACACAUAUUAAAAAAUCCAUUUGAUCAAAAUUUGAUUAUUGGACCAAAAUUUAUUGCUAGAUGAGAACCUAGUUAAACUACCCAUGUUUGUCC